ACUCUUUCUUGUUAUAAGACAAGUCGGGAAAGUUUUUCGCUAAGGGAUCAGUCUAUGUUCCAUCAGCUUGUUGGUGAGGUAAUGGCUCACCAAGGCUAUGACGGAUAUCUGGUUUGAGAGGAUGAUCAGACACACUGGAACUGAGACACGGUCCAGACUCCUACGGGAGGCAGCAGUGAGGAAUAUUGCACAAUGGAGGAAACUCUGAUGCAGCAACGCCGCGUGGAGGAUGACGCAUUUCGGUGUGUAAACUCCUUUUAUUAGGGAAGAUAAUGACGGUACCUAAUGAAUAAGCACCGGCUAACUCCGUGCCAGCAGCCGCGGUAAUACGGAGGGUGCAAGCGUUACUCGGAAUCACUGGGCGUAAAGGGUGCGUAGGCUGGCUUUUAAGUCAGAUGUGAAAUCCAAUGGCUCAACCAUUGAACUGCAUUUGAAACUGAAAGCCUAGAGUUCAGAAGGGGCAGAUGGAAUUAGUGGUGUAGGGGUAAAAUCCGUAGAUAUCACUAGGAAUAUCAAAAGCGAAGGCGAUCUGCUGGGAUGAUACUGACG
rnacentral:rRNA from 1 species